AUGGCACAGCAGGCUGAGCCACCUCGCCUGCCAGUCGGAUUCCCAGGAGGCCAGCCAGGCUGGAGUUGGGAUGUUGCUGUACAUCCCACAGCCAGGAAUGGAAGAGCUUGUCUCAGCCCAGGAUAAAGGCAUGUGUUACAUGGAUCCAUAUAAACUUCUUCUGAAGUGAAGAAAGACUAUGGAUAAGGUAGAAGAGUCAAGGAGUUGAGAAAGGUGGCUGAAUUAUUGGUCAUAUGAUAAUACAAGUGAAGAUCCAUGUAUUUCUGAAGAACUAGAAAUUUAGAAUCCACAAUUCACUGCUUUCAAUGGUAAAAGAACUACAGAUACAACCCAUGGAUGCAGGGAUUAUUAAGGAAGCCCAAGGGCACACUGGUUUUAUCCUUCAAAAAUCUCUCUUGCAUGAGACCUGAAACUCUCAUCGAACAAGAUACAAGCAGAACAACGGAAAAGGUCUUAAGAGGCCACAUACAAUAUAUCCAAACACGAAAGGCUCCAAGUCUAUGGAGCAAAGUAAACACUUUACAAUAUUUGUAAUCAACAUAGGGAGCCUUUUAUUGCUUUGCAGAAAUCUACGCCAAGAAAAAAAUUGCAGCCUUUUUAUUUUUUAAUGACGCAGCAUGCUGUUAAUUUGGGUAUAAUGCCAAGAAGCUCCAUAGUGUUAUUCAGGAAAGAGUUGUCUAGAAACCCCUCAAUGUCAUAGAUAAAAUUGAAUCUGAAUGGCUAAACCAAUUUGAAAACAAAUCAAUCCAAAACUAAUUUUACCCAUAAUGUGCAGUUUUUAACAAACCUCUUGCACUACAACAGAGCUACUUGUGACAUCCUUAAGCCAAAUACUUUUAUUCUGUUCCUGAUGUUGCAUACAAACAGAAACACCUUUCUGGUACUACUGCAGAGAAAACAAAUGCCUGAAUCUUUCCUCUUUUGUUAUUCCAUUCUCACCACUGAAAACAAAGUCCUCCUCACAGCUAGGCAAACACCUUGGAAUGUCUCCUGCCCUGGCUUCUUGCCAAUUCACCAAAACUCACUCUCCUGGAGUUUUAAAGGAAGACACAGAGAAUCUCUUCUCUUCUGGCCUGAAUAGGCCACCACUGGUUUGAAAUCUUACCCAAGAAGUGAGUAUUCUCCUGCCUUUGGUACCCAGAUGCUGCAGCUAUGGCAUUGGUCCUUCUCUUCAAGGAAUUAGUGAAAGGCAGAAAUCUCUCAGAGCCCAUCAUACACUGACUUGAUUAAACUGCUGCCACCUUCCCCUCACACACCAAGAAAACAAACAUGACUGCAUAAAGCAAAGCACAGUGGUGAGAUGAAGGUCUCUCCUGUAUUUGUUUGGCUCUAACAACUAAGUAUCAAAAGAAGAACUUGCAAUGGUAAGAGAUGGAUGGGAUGAAGGGCUGAAAAAUAGUGGGGGGUGGUGGGGUGGAUUAUCUUCCAUAAAACUAUGUGAAUUAGCCAUCUCAUUUGCACAGGAAACUAUCUUGGAAAAUACAUGAAAAAAAUCAAGCAAAUAAAUUGGUUGAUAAAGCAA